GGCAGUCUUUCAGAAAGAGAGUGCCCAGACUUGCCAUUGUUUGUGAAAUAGUCUCCAAGCAAGAAGGGCCUGCAAUGGCCCAGCUGGGCUGGCCCUCCUUGUUCAGUCUCUGCCCUGCUGCCUGACACUACUGAUAGUGAAAGCUGGCUGAGCCCUGCUCUGCUGAUAGCGAUGUGAGGCACCAUUUAGCAGAAGUUUCCUGAUGCAGAGCUUUUAGAGAAUUCACGGACUUGCUCUGUCAUCUUCAUCAAAAGAUGUUUCCUUUUGCUGAGUCAGAAGAAGUAAAUUGGAUCUGGACCAGAAACUAAUGAAAAUUUUAUCUGUUCCCGAUGUUCGUUCCCUAUUUAAACACACAGCAUUCAGUUGGUGAAGCCAGAAGUUCUCUGCCAAUGCUGUCACCACCCAGGUCUGUGGUGCUGAAGGCCCAAUCUGAAGCAAGAAGUGACACAAAACCACUGCUGCUCCAUCCAGAGAGAGUUGCUGCGCUCUCCUCUACACCCAGUGGAUCAUAACGCAAGAUGGCAGCCUUCAUCCUUCACUCAGCCCGGGGCAAGGCCAUAUGGUAUUCCACUAACCAACCAAUACCUGUUCAUUGUGGAUCUCGCGCACUAACCCUGGGAUCUUUGACAGCAGUGCUGUUUCUUCCACAUGCUGUUUCUUCCACAUCAAUGGACCUUCAGCACCUACCACAGUGCCAGGCCACCAAGCCUGAAGUCCACUUAUGGAUGAGAUCAGCUCCAGCUCAAGAUCAAACUCUCUCCAGACGCAAGAUGGAAAAGUCCCAUUAGCCAAACCCUGGGCUGAGCUUCAAGAAACAACAAUCUGUUGUUGAUUCUUCUCUAUACUGGAAACAUAGAAAAUACAGAAGCUACCUAACCCCCAGGCCACCAAAAACCUAUGUUUAUUGCCAUCUGAUGCCAUCCUACCCUACAUGCACAGUGCCAGGGAAGGGGCAGCAAAAUAGCCUGGUGCCCCAACUCUGGGUCUUUUCUCCCUUGCUUUCAGAGCAGAACCCAUCUGAGUGAGAAUGAUUACCUUUUGUUGUUGUUGUUGUUAAGGUCAUACUGACUUAUAAUAUUGUGUAAAUUUCAGGUGUACAUUAUCAUAUUUCAGUUUCUGUAUAGACUGUAUGGUGCUCAUCACCAAUAGACUAGCUUUUGUCCAUCACCAUAUAUAUGUGCCCCUUUACCCCUAUCACCCCCCACCACUUGCUUCCCCUCUGGUAACCACUAACCUGUUCUCCUUAUCUAUGUGUGCAUUUAUUUGUUUAUCUUCCACAUAUGAGGGACUAGAUGUUUGUUUCAUUCUUAUCAAGGCUUGGGAAGAGGAUCGGGGGAAAGUCUCCUCAGAAAAAGAGUCUGAAAGAAGAAGUUGGCAGAAUUGCAAUAAACACAGGCAUUAAAAAAAUCUAACAGCAUGAAUCUGUUCACUAGCUGGAAAGAAAAUAUCUCAUAUAUUUAAGGCAGAGCAGCGAUGUUGUAUAAGUCGAGGGUGACGGGUAACUAUUCACUUCAUAGUCUAUGUGAAUGCUGCAGGGCACAAACUGUGUAACCAAACUUAGACAGCCCCAAUUCACGAUAUCUAAGUUAGAAAAGUUCCUGUAAUAAUUUCCACACAGAUGUGGCAGUUUUAGGCUAUGGAAACAUUUAAGUUGUGGAUUAUUCUGUAGAAAAUUCUUAGUGUACAUAGCAAAACCCAAAUUUCCCACAGAAUCAUACCCUAAAUUAUAACCAGGGGAACCUUGGAGGUUGUCUAGAUCACCCCCUUGAUUUGCAGAUGAGGACUGAAGGCCAGAGACAUAACGUGUCUUGCCCAAGGUCAGUAAGCCUCUACUGAAAAGGUGAAACAGACUUUCUCUGUUCCCCAUAGAUAGCCAAAAUAGGCCGCUUUGCUGUGAAUGGUAUUCAGCCUAAACAGAACCAAAAUUGAGUCUUAUUUGUCAGUAUCAUCAUUUAACAUUUAUUGAGCACCUUCUAAAUGCUAAGGCUUGAAAAUACAAAAAGAGUGCCUCCAAAUGACCCAGUCCAUGAGGCAACAGUAGGGCAGAGCUUUGCACCAAUCACACACAACCUUUGGUCCAGGAAAUGAGGACUUUUCUAGGAACAUUUCAAGGUGCAAAGGUAGUGUACUCUUUCUUGAGCCAUAAAAGGUUAUGGUCUAUUGAACAAAUCCUUAUUUAGGCUUUUUUUUUUUUCAAAUGUGUUUCAUCUCCGUUGAAGUUGACCAACUUCUUUGAAGCUGCUUUGGUUUAUUGGUUAAAUAUUUAUUCUUUAAUAUAUUUAAAAGCCAUAUUUACACAAUAUACUUGGAACCACUCUAGACUUUAGCAUAAUUAUUGCCUACUUAAAAUCAGGCUAUCCAAAGCAAGAAAAUCAAUGGCCAUUUACAGGGAAAAUGGGAAACUGGCAGGUUACUGAGGUUGGCCCUUAAUUUAAAUCUUAUUUUUAACACAGCCAUUCUACUUUUUCUAAUGGAAGUUUUAUGCGUGCUUGAAUUUGUGCUGUGAGACUGAGGUGGGAGGAUAAAGAAGCUCUUUUAUCAAAAACCAAUGAAACUUAACCACUUUAUGGACAAGCUCUUGCAAAUCUCUUACUGAAAUCAGACACGUUUGAGUUAGUUAUACAAGAGCAGGGCAGAAAGCACCUGCUGUCACGUCUGUUUCUCAUUUUGUACUCGUGUGACUCAGAUGCCCUGUGGAUUAAGUGAAAUGUGCUCCUGAGCUGCACUCGUGUAUACCACGUGCCAGCUCAGUUUGAAGGUGCAAACAGGAGCUCAGAAGGUGCCACUCAAUCACGUAGCUCUGGUUUUCCCCAACUGUAACGUGAACACGGGAGUCAUGUUAUGCAGGCCUGAGUCUCCAGCUUCGCUGUAAGCAAGAGAUACAGCAGAACUAUGUUUCCAUUUAAUGGUGCUCCCCCACACCCAAACCCCAUAUCAGUUCCCAUUUAAACUUCCACGAGGGAAGGUCAUGACAUGGAACGAGAAGUGCUGUAAAUCUUACACGUUGACAGUUGAUGACCUGUGCAUGAAUUUACAACUAUGUCCUGACACAGAAAAAGGAAGCCAACCAGAAUGCAUGAUCCAACAUCCCCAGGCAGCCAGCUACAGGUCACACUGUUUGUAACCUACAUAAAUGUAUGAAGGAGUCCACAGGUCUGGAGAAAUUGCAUUAGGGUAAAAUUAGUAUUCAGCUCUUAUGUUAAGACCCCAAAUCAAAUUCUUUCUUUUUUAACCCAAAGAGGGCUCUUUUAAAUAUUAGCACUAACAAGGAAUUCUGGAACUUGCCUCUUUGAUCACAUUUUAGAAUAUUAGCUCCUUGUCGGCCUCUUCAUUUGUCCUAUUCAUUCAACAAAUAUUUGGUGAGUCCCUACUGUGUGCUCUCAAGCAUCAAUAGUUAUAAAACAGCAAGAACUCUGCUGUCAUGGAGUUUCCUUUCUAGAUGGAGAAGGGGAGAAAUUGGCUUUGAACUAGCUUAGUGAAGGCGUGUUCCAGUUAAAGUCAAGUUUCCAUGUGGCAUUCCAGAUUUACACAGGAUAAAUUGGGAUGUGAUAAUUUGCUUCAAAAAAAGAUUCAAUAUUUUACCAAAAAAAAAAAAUCACAUAAGGAUUCCCUUUAAAUCUGAAACUCCCAUAGCACCCCCACCCGAGUCAUUUUAUUGAUUCUGGAUUUUUGAAGACUCCACUAAGUGUUAGAGUGUCCGUGCACUGUUCUGGAGCAUCCCCUAAUCACCACCAUGGGUAGACAGUCACUUCCACUGCAUAGAAGAAGUGCCCCAAGAAAGCAUCACUUAUUCUAGAGUAAAAAUACAACCCACUCUGAAAAGAACACUCACAAAGGCUACAGACAGGCCUAGGGAGGAAAAGUCUUAGGAACUCCAGUCCUGGUGUCUUCUCUGGAGCCUCUCUGCACCCUCUUCUUUUAACAACUAGGUCAACGGCAAAAGAAGUCUGGAGUCGAGGGGGAUUGUCUUUUCAGUUUCUCUGGAUUUUUCUCAUUGACAUGAAUGAGGGUAAUAUGGAGAAAAACAAGCCCAACUAAUACAGUUUAAAAAAUGAACCUGCUGAGAUGAAGACAUCAUUUUUCUCUCCUGACACUUUCAACCACUUAGAUAUUUAAUUAUCUGUCACCAGAAUCUCUCCUUGUGAGCACAAGCAAUUUCACCCAUUAGCAAUUAGUGAGAACAGUUCCUCCACUGAGCUUUUGUGUGAGAAAAUAAAUAGGCAGCUGCCACAUACAAACACACAGACUUAGAAGAAGUGAGAAAGAAGCUGAAAAGAGCAUUCCUAAUAUUACAACUGGCCUCUUGUUAUGUUCCCCACAUUUGGGUUUUAUUGAUCAGUGACCACAUUCUCCUCAGGACCGUUGUAAUGCCAGGAAGCUUCCUGGUCCAGCUGCAGAGUGGUUAGUUGGCAUAAAAAAUUUUUUUUUAAAGAACCAGCUCUACCCUACCGUAUUCAGAAAAGUUAAUGUUGUAUCAUUCAUUUCAGCUCCAAAAGUUGAAAGGCCAUCCUAUUUAAAUAGAGGAAGCAAAAGUGAAGCCAGCCUUGGGUGUUUCCACAAGUCUUUGAAAGGCUACCCAAGAAGGAUUCAUACUGAAAGCCUUCAUAGUAAUUAGAUACGUUUAGCAAAUACAGGUACAAAAGGGUAUUCAGAAGUCAAAUGAGCGAUUCUCCAAUUAACGAGCUUUGCUUGGGAAUAAAGGAUCAUGCUCAGUGGAGUGAGUGUUGCUUAAAUUAGCCCUAAAGGAGGAGUCUUCUUAAGAAAGAGAGGAAUAUAUGUACAAAUAAAAUGAGACCAAACUGGGAAGAAAUUGAGUGUUGUUUUCUGUCCCAAUGUUAGAUCAGUCCAAACAGAUGAUAGCCAAAGCCAACUUGCCAUAUAUACGUCACAGCCCUAGCUCUGCAAGGUCUCUCCUGGCUGCAUCUGGGUUUCCAUUGUGCCUGAGACUAGGUCCAACACCCAGUCUGUGUUGCAGUUCCAGAAAAAGACUUUCUGAUUCCUCUAGGAGAACCUGUGAUAACUGCCACCUGACACACUGGAGAAUUGCACCUGACCUUCAGGGGACCAGGAGUUUUUUUGCUGCUAUUUAGAGCACUCAGAGUUCAUCUUUGGCUGAGACUUGUACUAAAUAGCAACUGUGUAACUACCUUGGCAGAAUGUGAGGCACAGCAUCAUUGUUUGGGUCAAGUAGAGAAACUCAAUUUACACUUAUCGACAGCAGGCCACUCCUCCUGACAGGAAGCACUGAGCAGAGAUGUGCCUGGGGUCCACAUUUACCCAACUUCUCAUUACAAAUUACCUGUCCAUGUCUGACUUUUAUUCAUGCCACCAUUUUCCUCGACCGAUUUGUUUAUUUAAAUAAAACGAACUGAAGGCUAUUUUCAUGGGAAAAAUUUCCUUGGGCAUACUCAGGUUACUGACAACUCCCAAGAUAAAAAUCAAGCCUUGAAAUAUUGGUACUCUGACUACAGACCGCAUGGCAACAGAUAAAAAUCUUUGAAAAAUCACUCACAAAGGUCAGGAGAUUUAAAGUCCAUAUAUCAAAAUGCAAUCUAUUCUUAGGAGGCAGCCACACAGUAAGAAGCUAUAAGCCAAUGGGUUUUAUAAUGGCACCACGGCUGUUUAGAGCUGCCUUCCAAGUGCCAGGUGUGAUACCAGCAGUAUGAUGCAAACUCCUAUAUUCCAAGUAACCACUUAGGUCUUAUGGUAAAAUAAGAUCUCAAAAUAGAUCCUUAAAAAGGGAAAAAGUAGACAUUGACUUCAGCUUGAUAUUGUAAUUCCUAACGAAAUCUCUCAAAUCAAUGGUGAGGAGGUGUACAGAAAGACCAACGCCAUUCAUGGUAAGAAUCAUUAGGAAUUCAUAACAAAAGCAAAUACAAAAAGAUGAGAGGAUUGGGGUUUCGAGUAGGGCACACAGACGUGUGCUUCAGAAAUGUGGCUUAUUCAUUUAGUUUUCCUAUGUCCCUGUUUCUUCUGUAUGUGCUAGUGGAAGUAGACAAUUUAGAAAACUUUCCUGAGACUUGCCUGGACAUCAUUUUUAAGACCUUGGGCUUACUGCCCCUUUUCAUUGUUCCACAUUCCUCUCUUGUUUCAGCAUUGUUUUUCAUUGCCUAGACCAAGACAUUGGCACCAGUUAACUCACUCUGAAAUUCAAAGAUUGAAAUGCAAAAUUCUAUUGAAGAAUUAGGGAUGGGUUGUCCUAUAAUAAUGUGAUAGAACUUUUUUACUUUAUGAACUGUCCCAAUGUAGCAUAUCUAAAAGUAUAGCACCAAUUCUAUAGAACACUGUUUCAAACAUCCUUAGAAGGGUCAGGAUACAUUGCUCAGAAAUUCUUGAGAGUGAAUCAAUUAGAUGAUUAAUUGAUUCUAAUUAUCAGAAAUUUUUAAAAGUCUAUCAACUCUACUAGCCAUAUUUAUACUAAUCCAAGUCUGAGGUAUUUCCUAGCUCUAAAAUUCCACAAUUCUACAAUUCUGGUCAUCAUUUUUUCCCUCUAUCCUUCUAAGAAGGUCCUAUCACGGGGGGCUUCAUUUACCAUCCCGAUCUCUAACUCCUUCUCUUUAGUCCUCUGUAUCUCCACUAGAAAUAAGGACCAACACAUUCUUGUUUAUGGCAACUCCAUUUUCACAGUGGACAUUAUUUUCAAGGAUUGUAAAGUAGUUGCCAUCAGUCCAUCUGACAACCUCAAUCAAGAACUACUGCUUCGAAAGCAGAUCAAUCCGAAGGGGUCUCCCGGCCAAACCGAAAGGAAGAGCUAAGGAAAGUUACCUGCCCUCUCUACAAAUGUCCUGAUGUUAUUUGAAGAUUACCAGUGCCUACUUCACAAUUUCAUCGUUGUUAAUAUCAAUAAUUUUAGACCUAUUUCACACAUUUGCUAGUGUUGCUUAAAGAUGUUGGGAGAUUAUAAAGAUAGCACUAAUUCUUGCUUGAUAAUUUUCCUCCUUUUGCCCUAGAAUGCUGAGUGAGAUGUCAUUUUUCAAGAAUAAUUCUGAAAAUUCAACCCUGCUGAAACUUCCACACACAGAGUUAAAAGGCUCAAACAGUCAUAGAUUCAAUUUAGCCAAAUCACAAUCAGAUUUGAUACUCUAGCCAGACCAAGCAACAGACUGACUGAGUGACCAUUAUUCAUAGACAUCUUUCCUUAUCACACUUCGUUAACACCAGGAGAGUUUUUAUUUCUUUGUCUUAAUCAUGCAAACAUUUGGAGAAUUUAAUUUAUGCAUAGAAUCACACUGAGUAAUCCAGGUCUGAAAGGUAAUGUGUGUUAGCUUAUAUUUGUUGGUUUCUGUGAGGGAAAUGGCCGCUUUCAUAGACAGCAACCUGAGAAGCACAAUGCUUACGUUGGUGGUGUCUAGCACAUGGUUUCCAACCCUGGGUCCUUGGUCAGCCUCCCCUCCAGUGAUCUACACAAUCUUGCUAAGGAAGAUCACACAUAUCAUUACUUUAUAUAUCAGUUCAC
ensembl:lncRNA